rnacentral:lncRNA from 1 species
UUUUUUUUGUGCACUUUAAAAUUGCUCUUGGUUAUGUUUGGUUUGUAAACUCUCUUGGUUGUGUUCUUUUAACUUUUCUAUUUUGGUUGGUGUUUUUGUCAACUUUAUGGCUAAAAAGGGGUAGUAGUUAUAGUUAUGUGGUGUUGUUGUUAGAUGUUUGAUCUGUUUUUUUUUCCCGUUAGAUUUCUGAGGGGGAGCAUGUAUGGAGAGGGAGUAACUCUUGGGGUAACUCUGCCCCUAGAUCUGCUACUCAGGGGGAGCGUGUUUGUU